rnacentral:tRNA from 1 species
GGAGGGUGUCCGGGUUGGUUAGGAGGCCGCCUCGAAAGCGGUUGCCCCGUAAGGGGUUGUGGGUUCGAAUCCCAUGCCCUCCG